rnacentral:rRNA from 1 species
AUUGAACGCUGGCGGCAGGCUUAACACAUGCAAGUCGAGCGGGGUGAUGGUGCUUGCACUAUCACUUAGCGGCGGACGGGUGAGUAAUGCUUAGGAAUCUGCCUAUUAGUGGGGGACAACAUCUCGAAAGGGAUGCUAAUACCGCAUACGUCCUACGGGAGAAAGCAGGGGAUCACUUGUGACCUUGCGCUAAUAGAUGACCCUAAGUCGGAUUAGCUAGUUGGUGGGGGAAAGGCCUACCAAGGCGACGAUCUGUAGCGGGUCUGAGAGGAUGAUCCGCCACACUGGGACUGAGACACGGCCCAGACUCCUACGGGAGGCAGCGGUGGGGAAUAUUGGACAAUGGGGGGAACCCUGAUCCAGCCAUGCCGCGUGUGUGAAGAAGGCCUUAUGGUUGUAAAGCACUUUAAGCGAGGAGGAGGCUCUUUUGGUUAAUACCCAAGAUGAGUGGACGUUACUCGCAGAAUAAGCACCGGCUAACUCUGUGCCAGCCGCCGCCGUAA